GUCCACGCCGUAAACGUUGGGCGCUAGGUGUGGGGAACCUUCCACGUUCUCCGUGCCGUAGCUAACGCAUUAAGCGCCACGCCUGGGGAGUACGGCCGCAAGGCUAAAACUCAAAGGAAUUGACGGGGGCCCGCACAAGCGGCGGAGCAUGCGGCUUAAUUCGAUGCAACGCGAAGAACCUUACCUAGGCUUGACAUAUACCGAAAACUCAUAGAGAUAUGGGGUCCGCAAGGGCGGUAUACAGGUGGUGCAUGGUUGUCGU
rnacentral:rRNA from 1 species